CAACGGGGGCCGAGUUCCUGCU
rnacentral:miRNA from 12 species